rnacentral:rRNA from 1 species
GACGAACGCUGGCGGCGUGCUUAACACAUGCAAGUCGAACGGAAAGGCCCUGCUUUUGUGGGGUGCUCGAGUGGCGAACGGGUGAGUAACACGUGAGUAACCUGCCCUUGACUUUGGGAUAACUUCAGGAAACUGGGGCUAAUACCGGAUAGGAGCUCCUGCUGCAUGGUGGGGGUUGGAAAGUUUCGGCGGUUGGGGAUGGACUCGCGGCUUAUCAGCUUGUUGGUGGGGUAGUGGCUUACCAAGGCUUUGACGGGUAGCCGGCCUGAGAGGGUGACCGGCCACAUUGGGACUGAGAUACGGCCCAGACUCCUACGGGAGGCAGCAGUGGGGAAUAUUGCACAAUGGGCGGAAGCCUGAUGCAGCAACGCCGCGUACGGGAUGACGGCCUUCGGGUUGUAAACCGCUUUCGCCUGUGACGAAGCGUGAGUGACGGUAAUGGGUAAAGAAGCACCGGCUAACUACGUGCCAGCAGCCGCGGUGAUACGUAGGGUGCGAGCGUUGUCCGGAUUUAUUGGGCGUAAAGGGCUCGUAGGUGGUUGAUCGCGUCGGAAGUGUAAUCUUGGGGCUUAACCCUGAGCGUGCUUUCGAUACGGGUUGACUUGAGGAAGGUAGGGGAGAAUGGAAUUCCUGGUGGAGCGGUGGAAUGCGCAGAUAUCAGGAGGAACACCAGUGGCGAAGGCGGUUCUCUGGGCCUUUCCUGACGCUGAGGAGCGAAAGCGUGGGGAGCGAACAGGCUUAGAUACCCUGGUAGUCCACGCUGUAAACGGUGGGUACUAGGUGUGGGGUCCAUUCCACGGGUUCCGUGCCGUAGCUAACGCUUUAAGUACCCCGCCUGGGGAGUACGGCCGCAAGGCUAAAACUCAAAGGAAUUGACGGGGCCCCGCACAAGCGGCGGAGCAUGCGGAUUAAUUCGAUGCAACGCGUAGAACCUUACCUGGGUUUGACAUGGAUCGGGAGUGCUCAGAGAUGGGUGUGCCUCUUUUGGGGUCGGUUCACAGGUGGUGCAUGGCUGUCGUCAGCUCGUGUCGUGAGAUGUUGGGUUAAGUCCCGCAACGAGCGCAACCCUUGUUCACUGUUGCCAGCACGUUAUGGUGGGGACUCAGUGGAGACCGCCGGGGUCAACUCGGAGGAAGGUGGGGAUGACGUCAAGUCAUCAUGCCCCUUAUGUCCAGGGCUUCACGCAUGCUACAAUGGCUGGUACAGAGAGUGGCGAGCCUGUGAGGGUGAGCGAAUCUCGGAAAGCCGGUCUCAGUUCGGAUUGGGGUCUGCAACUCGAUCUCAUAAAGUCGGAGUCGCUAGUAAUCGCAGAUCAGCAACGCUGCGGUGAAUACGUUCCCGGG